rnacentral:rRNA from 1 species
UACGUAGGGCGCAAGCGUUGUCCGGAAUUAUUGGGCGUAAAGAGCUCGUAGGCGGUCUGUCGCGUCUGCCGUGAAAACCCGAGGCUUAACCUCGUGGCUUGCGGUGGAUACGGGCAGACUAGAGGUAGGUAAGGGAGAAUGGAAUUCCCGGUGUAGCGGUGAAAUGCGCAGAUAUCGGGAGGAACACCGGUGGCGAAGGCGGUUCUCUGGGCCUUACCUGACGCUGAGGCACGAAGGCCAGGGGAGCAAACGGG